UAGGUACAACAGAUGAUAGCUUGAAAUUUUCAAGAGGAAAGUCCAAGCUGCAGUGAAGUAUGGUUCCAUCUAACGGAUGGCUAGGGCAACCUAAGGGAUAGUGCAACAGAAAGUAAACUACCCUACUUUUGGACAAAGAUAGGGAAAAGGUGAAACGGUGGAGUAAGAGCCCACCAGUGCUUUGAGUAAUCUAAGCAGCUAUGUAAACCCAACCAGCAGCAAGAAAAGAGCGGUAUAAACUUCACAAUUUUUUCUUUUCGCAUGACUGACUAUGUAAAUUGUCAGCUAGAUAAAUUAUCAUCCAAUACAUAACUUGGCUUAUAGUUGUACCUACAUU
rnacentral:RNase_P_RNA from 1 species